rnacentral:lncRNA from 1 species
AUAAUAAUUAAUAUCUAAAUGACGUAAAAAAAAAUUUUGAUUUUAUUUAAAGAUAAAAAUGUCAAUUUGGUCUCCAUUCUCAUCCUCAAUAUGAGAAUGAGAUUCUCAUUCCUCAUUUUUAAAUUUAUGGACUCCACCCAAAAUUUGUUACAUAUUAUAGAUUUCAAAAUAUAAUAUCAAAAUACCAUGAUGUGAUAUUGAAAACUUAUGUUAAAAUGUAAUAUUUUCAUAAAAAAAUAACGAUAUCAUCUUACUCUACACAUUGUUUAACGCAUAAGUUUCAAUAUACUUUUGGGUUGUUUACAUUCAUAGUAUAAAGCACUAAAUAGAUAUAUAUGAUACACAUUAUUUGAAGCAUCGUUUUUAAUAUACUUUGAGAUGUUAUAUUUUUAAUAUGAAGUGCUAAACUUAUAUCAAUUUAUUAUAUGCAUUACAUGCUCGAGUAGUACUCAUAAUCCGAAACACAAUGUAAUGACCCUAAUUAUGGCCUACAAUAUUGGGUAAAACUCUUGGUACGACAGUUCUAUGUCAUUCUAAGCAAUUUCUUUCCUUUUUCCUUUUCUAAAAAAAUAACUUGUAUUAGAUUUGUUGAUUAAUAAAGAUGAUGUAGCGAGCACGUGAUAAAAUUCUAUAAUUAAUCUGAUAAAUACCGCGUAACACUAUCACUCUAUCACUCUACCACGAGGUUCAGUCUCAUAAAUCAAUGAUGGAGUUUGUAGCAUUGAUAUUGAUUUUAGAAAUGAAGCGCAUUUUGCAUUUUUUUUUAAAGUGAUGUUAUCAUUUUCCCACCAAAAUUAUUUUGACACAUCAUGUCAGUACCACGGUUUGGUAAAAACAUCAUUUUACUAACAAACAUUUAAAUUGUUAACAUUUUUCUACUAUUCCGUUAAAACUCAAUUAAUAUUUAACGAAAAAAAGUCAAUUUUACCCCUGGAGCGUAAAAGACGAUUUUACCAUUU